UGCCAGCCGCCGCGGUAACACGGGGGGCGCAAGCGUUAUUCGGAAUUAUUGGGCGUAAAGGGCGCGUAGGCGGUCUUGUCGGUCAGAUGUGAAAGCCCAGGGCUCAACCCUGGAAGUGCAUUGGAAACUGGCGAACUUGAGUACGGGAGAGGAAAGUGGAAUUCCGAGUGUAGGGGUGAAAUCCGUAGAUAUUCGGAGGAACACCAGUGGCGAAGGCGGCUCACUGGACCGAUACUGACGCUGAGGAGCGAAAGCGUGGGGAGCAAACAGGAUUAGAUA
rnacentral:rRNA from 1 species